CUUUGUCUGAUGUUGAGUGUUCUGUUCUGCCGUUGCCUUUGGAAUACUCUGCCUGUGCUCUGGAUUAUUACUGCCUUUUGGAUUUUCCUAAUCUUGUCUCAGUCAGGUUUUUGAGUUAAUAAAUAUUUUGAACUGCACCUUCCUUGUGUAUUGUCUGCAUUUGGGUCCACGCCUCUACUACCUGCAGCUGCACUCAGCCUUAUCCCAUGACAGAGUCAAUUCAGCUGCGAGCUUGACACUGCAGCUGAUUACCCUGUACAGGUGGAUGGCCUCACUGACAGGCACAGUGGAGAGCCUAAGGAUUCAUGAGCUCCAGAGCAAGUCACUACAGCUGCACGUCAGGCCCGGCAAGCGAAGACCCUGUUGAACAAAGACAAAGGGGGUCUCUCUGCGGGAGUCCAGAAGUUACAUCGCAUUCUGCUGAUCAUAGCAAUGUGUCUUACCACCAUCACUGUCAGGACAUCUGACUGGAGAAGUCUUGGACCACAUAGGACCCUCUGCACGACAUUCCAACCCAUCCAAUCUACUCUACACAAAGCUCUCUACCAACUCAGACCAUGAAGUGAUGUGGGGACUCUGGAGCUGCCAGUCGGCAGUCAAAAAGGCAGGCACUAUUUCAUCCUAUGCCUUCCUCCAGACUCUCUGCU